CUGCAAUCUGUUUGCUAAUUGUAGUUUCAGAUCCAGCAAACAUUAGGAUCCACCUCCUUUGAGCCAAAUGCUUUAGAUAAUUUGUUUAAUCUCAUCACAAGUGUGUGAAGUAAGUGAUGAAAACAUCACUCAUUUUAAAGAUGAAGGAUUUGAAACCCAACGAGGUUAAAUAAUUCACUCAAUUUAUUGCAACUAGCAUAGAAAAGACCUUCAAACUGAAGCUCUCUGACUGGCUACUCAAUAACAUCCUGAGGUCUGUUGGCAUGAAUUGAUUAAAUUGCGGGCUCCAUCUCAACCAGGCCAUUGACAUAGCCCAUUGAAAUUGGAGUCAUCUAAGAAUGCAGUCCCAGAUUUUUCAAGAUAUGGAAAUAAAUUUGCACAAAGUUACCCAGUUCCUUUCAUUACACAUAAAAUCAACUAAGAAAGAAAAUGGAUUCAUAACUUGUGUUUGAGAGGAAAGAAAACCCCAGUGACCUCUUCCACAUAAGAUGGGUAAGAAAUCAUUUUAAUUCAAUUUGGAGUAAGUAAUGAAUUCAAUUUAUUAAAAUUGCUUAUAUUCUUUGAGAAAGUUGAAUACAAAUAAAACAAAACUAAUAAGUCA
rnacentral:lncRNA from 12 species